UACGUAGGCAGCAAGCGUUGUUCGGAGUUACUGGGCGUAAAGGGUGCGUAGGCGGCCCUGUAAGUAUGGUGUGAAAUCUCCCGGCUUAACUGGGAGGGUGCGCUAUAGACUGCGGGGCUCGAGUGUGGGAGAGGAAAGUGGAAUUCCUGGUGUAGCGGUGAAAUGCGUAGAUAUCAGGAGGAACACCGGUGGUGUAAACGGCUUUCUGGACCAUAACUGACGCUGGAGGCAACGAAAGCGUGGUAGCAACAGG
rnacentral:rRNA from 1 species